rnacentral:rRNA from 1 species
UACGUAGGGUGCAAGCAUUAAUCGGAUUUAUUGGGCGUAAAGGGCGCGUAGGCGGGAAUAUAAGUCAGAUGUGAAAUCCCGGGGCUCAACCCCGGAACAGCAUUUGAAACUGUUUUUCUAGAGGGUAGGCGGAGAAAUCGGAAUUCCACAAGUAGCGGUGAAACGCGUAGAUAUGUGGAAGAACACCAGUGGCGAAGGCGGAUUUCUAGCUUAUACCUGACGCUGAGGCGCGAAAGCAAGGGGAGCAAACAGG